AUUGAACGCUGGCGGAAUGCUUUACACAUGCAAGUCGAGCGGCAGCGCGGGGCAACCUGGCGGCGAGCGGCGAACGGGUGAGUAAUACAUCGGAACGUACCCAAUCGUGGGGGAUAACUAUCCGAAAGGAUAGCUAAUACCGCAUAAGUCCUGAGGGAGAAAGCAGGGGAUCGCAAGACCUUGCGCGGAUGGAGCGGCCGAUGUCGGAUUAGCUAGUUGGUGGGGUAAAGGCCUACCAAGGCGACGAUCC
rnacentral:rRNA from 1 species